UGCCAGCAGCCGCGGUAAUACGUAUGUCGCAAGCGUUAUCCGGAUUUAUUGGGCGUAAAGCGCGUCUAGGCGGUCUGGUAAGUCUGAUGUGGAAAUGCGGGGCUCAACUCCGUAUUGCGUUGGAAACUGCCAGACUAGAGUACUGGAGAGGUGGGCGGAACUACAAGUGUAGAGGUGAAAUUCGUAGAUAUUUGUAGGAAUGCCGAUAGAGAAGUCAGCUCACUGGACAGAUACUGACGCUGAAGCGCGAAAGCAUGGGGAGCAAACAGGAUUAGAUA
rnacentral:rRNA from 1 species